rnacentral:rRNA from 1 species
AUGGAAGAUGUUCACCACAAACAACAACCUACUUGCAGCAGCAAUGCACUAAGCUGGAACAAGGUAAUUGAUGAAAGCUUCCGCAUUAGGAGCCAAAGCUUUCAUGCCGUCGCGUGUGGCCAUUUCAUCAUCCUCGAAUUGGUAUGCCGGGGCACAGGUCACUCCAACGAAAGAAUAGUGCAGGUCAGGGUCCCGUCCAGGUGUCUCGACAAAAACACUGCCGUCAUCAGUGAAGGACUCGAUGUCGUGGGUCAGGAAGGCACCAAACCACACAUUCGGAGGGACCGUGUACUGCGGUCUCUGCCCUUUCCGUAG